rnacentral:lncRNA from 1 species
ACUUCUCACCUGCAGUUGGACUCCACAGAACUCCUCCUGGCCCCAGGCUCUGUGGCAAAGGAAGUCUAGGGAAAGCUAUGAGCUCCUACUCUGCCCAGACUGCCCACCCACCAUUCUAGAAUGUAGCUGUGGAUCCUGAGGACUGCUUGGCUUCCAGCCUGGUUUCCCAGUGACAAGCUGUAUCCUUAGGUAAGUCCCUCUGUCUCCCUCUACCCUGUUCCCUCAGCUUUUGUUCCCCACCCGCCUUUGCUGGUCCCUGGAAACAGGUGUACAGAUUUCAUCUUAUCAAACAGCAGGUAAGUUCCAGAAAGAUCUAGCAUCUCAUUCAUAGUUUAAUUUUGUUUGAAAUCUCAUAGCUUGCCCCAAGCUACAGAGGUGCAACCAGAAUCCAGUAAGACAAGAUUGUCUCCCAAGGCCACCGGGCCUCUGUGCCUUGGGGCCUUUCUACAGGUCUUGCUUUAACUGAGCUCAGACUUCUGGGCUCUGAGGUGGGCCAACCAGAUUCUGGCCCAGAAGUGUCCAAGGGUGCUUAGGUAAGUGGACGUUUAAAAUGCUCUCAGGUCACUGGACAGAGACCUGUUUGCAGGGGCCCAGCCGCCAUAGCCAGUCUGUGAAGUGGAUUCCAGCUGAUGAGGGAAUGGCCGGGCUGUCUGUGCUGAGUAGAGGGUGUCUAGGCCUCUACUGAAGAAUGAAGGAAGAAGGAAGAAGGUCACGUUUCUGCAGGGCUUUGAUGCUCUGUGCUAGGAGACUUGCAUCUAACACACAUGCACGCGCUGGUUUGCUGCAGUGGGCAUGGAUGUUUUGCCAGCAGGCUACCCUAGACGCCGUUAACUGGUCCCCUUCAAAGCGAGGCUGGGCAAGCAGGAGGGAGCUUCCUUUGACUCAAAACCUCUCUCUUCUGUUUGACUGUUUUACUGCGUGCGUGUGUAUUCUUACUGUUUUUAAACAUCAACAGAUGCUAUCUGAGCCAUUCUGUUCUUGCUCUGUAGUCAGAAAGGAAGCAGGAACUGAGAGUUGGUAAGGAUGGAGUGUGAUUUGUCAGAUCUUGCUCUUGAGGACAGGGAGAGAGUCUGCCUGUGGGUGAGAGGCUGGAGGGCCCUGGAUGGGGCUUGAGGGAGCUAGCACGUUGGGGACACAUCCCCACCUCCAUGAUGCUUAGUCAUGUCAGGGAUGGCCUCUGAGGGACUCAGAACAGACCUUAGGCUCCGAGAUCCACUCUCGGAUGUGAGCUAUGUCUCCUUUACUAUGGGGAAAGAGCCAGGUGCCAUGUCUGCCUGUUUUUAAAGGAUAAUAAAACAAAACAAGCAAGCAAACAAACAAACAGAAAGAUACCACCACAGCCAUCCCACACCGAUUAGAAUAGCCCAAAUCCAGAAUGCCAUCACAUCAAUGCUGGCCAGGAUACAAGGACCUCUCAUCCAUUGCUGGUAGGACAGUUCCUUUGGGAGGUAGGUUGUCAGUUCUUUAUACAAGGAAAUGUGGUCUUACAAUGUUCUUUGGCAUCUACCCAGAAUGAAUGGGGGAGUAGAGCCAUUCCCAAACCUGACGCAAGAGUUUCAGCAGCCUUAUCCUUGUUUUCCAGAACUCCGAAACAGAAAAGAUGUUCUUCAAGGCUCCACGUAACCCCUGGCACGUCCAUCGAAGGAAUCUUGCUCAGCCGUUAGGGUGAAAGAAGAGGCUCCGCGGGGAUUUGCUGGAGUUAUUAUUUUACAUGUAUGAGUGUUUGGCUUGCACAUAUAUUAAGUGUACCACAUGUGUGCCUGGGCCCUUUGGAGUCCAGAAGAAGGUGUUGAAUCCUCUGGGGACUGGAGUUACAGAUGCUUGUGAGCUGACAUGUUGUGGCUGGGGAUAGAACCUGGGUCCCUCUGGAAGAGCAACAGUCUCCUUUAACCACUGAGCCACCUCUCCAGCCCCUAGCUUCAUGUAUACUGACGAGUGAAAGAAAUCCACUUGAAAAGGCUACAUCUCUCUGUACUGACUGCAUGGCAUUCUGGGAAAGGGCCCUGGAGAUAAUCAACUCUCAGCUGCUGCCUGAAGGCAGAGGCAGGGACAAGCAGGUGAGCCCAGAGGGCUUUUAGGGCAGGGAACCGUACUGCAUGAUAGUACUAUAAUGACCUCGGAAUAUAUCAGUUAACAGUGAGCCCCAGUGUAAGUUAUGGACUUGGAGUGACAGUUUGUCAGUGUGGUCUCAUCUGCUGUAACCUGUGAACGGCUCUGGAGUGAUGCUGGCCAUUCUUCCAUAGGGCCCUUCUGGUCCCUAUCACCAGGGGAACUGGAUUUGGGGAUGGCUACUGGAGAGAGUUGAGGAAGUGAGAGAGACUGGGGAGGGGGCUCCCAGCACUGGGGCAGGAGAGCAAGGCCUGUCUUUGUCCCUCUUGUCUCCCACAGUUUCCUGGAGGAGGCUCAAAGGAUCCCCAGCCGUUGGCCCCCUUCUCCUCAGCUUCCUGUUUGGCUUCCAGAGAGACGGUUUGGCCGUUGCUGCAGCUGAACCAAGCCAGUUGGCCUGGUGGUAGGGGGGCCACUCAAGGGGGAGUGGGCUGGGAGAGGGGGUGCUGUUAGCUUGGCAAGCAAGGAAACUAACUGUGAGUACUCCGAUCCUCAGACCUGCAGCCUUUGAGUGGUUGGCCCUGGCUUCCUGAAGGCUGUAUCUAAGCUAAGCAGCUGAGGGCUGGGACCUCAUCACCUCCCUCUGUGGGCAGCCUUUCCUCCUGGCCACUUAACUCGCCCAGCCCCUGCUUCCCAGGUGUCUGGGUUCACAAAGGCCAGCCCUGAGCUCAGACUUCCUUCCACCCCACCCACCAGCCCUCACCUUUCACUUCCUUCAGCCUUGAAGGCCCCUCCCACUCAGAGAUUAGACCCCAGGCUCUCUGGCGAAGGCCAUCACUGCUCACCCUGAGGAAGCUCUGAGCCGAGGUUGAAGACAGAGUCUUGGUGCUAAGUACCUACAUCAGGGAACAUGUGGGAGUGAGCACUCGGGUGUCAGGAAGAAAUGUCCUGCGGUCAGAAUUUAGAGGGUGAAUAGAGUUAUUUGGAAAAGAGGGUCAGGGUGUUUCAAUAACAAAGGCCCACAAGGGGGUGAGCACCAGACAUGGGCAGGGAUGCAGUUAAAGAAGCAACUGGAAAGAAGAUGCUCUAAAGCCAGUUAGGACAGCAUCUGCCCAUUCCACCCUGACACCAGUCCUCAGGAGGUUCAGGUCCUGCAGAGUAAGGCCAGCGUUCCCUGGGAUUUAUAGGACCACAGCCCCUGCAAGUCUGGGCCUCCUUGCUAACCUAUAUAGUCAACCUCUAAAGGUGAGUCUCUAAGGGAGACUGAUGUCAUUGUCCUACCUCUAGAUUGGGAGUGGAGAGAGAACCAUUCACAUGGCUAGAGACAUAGCUCUCGCCCUGGAGAAGAAAAAAAAUGGCAGGCUCUGCUUCUCACACUCCAGACUCUGGAGCCACGGAGGCUGAGACAGCCAGGAGGCUGCGGCCGGGAGCACACACGCUCGGAAACACUAGGUGUGCCUUGCAAGAUUGGUGCCUUGCAAGGUGGAGAGGUACCCCGUGCUCAGAGGCAUCGACAAGAGAGACACUUCACUUGGGGUUACACAAAGGGGUGCCUUGAGAUGAGCAUUCUGCAUGUGACAGUGGAUACAGAGGGACCCAGUUUUUGUUUCUCCAGCCCCAGCAUAGCCACAUGGCCUCCUCCUGACAAGAGAAAGUGAAAACAUGUUUGCCCCACAGUAGUCCUGCUGGCCCAGUGAUGAAGAUCUUCCAGGGCUAGCACUUGGCCUCCAUUCUGGGACAUUCUAGCAGAAGCCCUAUUUCCUAAGAAAGCCCUUUUCUCUUCUCUACACCUGCUGCCAGUUCUGUGCCUUUGUCCCAAUUGACAUAAGCCUGAGCCUGCGAUGCUCGGGGCCUCUCUGCUUCUGCCAUGAGCCGUCUGUCAAACUGGCCACACAGGGCCAUGCUUUCUCAAAGCAUGUGAAGCUACCACAGGGAGGUGGACCUCGGGAGUUCUGGGAGAGAACUACUAAACAGAGUGAACACACUAAAUAGAAAACAAUCAGAGAAUUAGAGGAUGCCUUUAAUCCCAGCACUCGGGAGGCAGAGGCAGGCGGAUUUCUGAGUUUGAGGCCAGCCUGGUCUACAGAGUGAGUUUCAGGACAGCCAGGACUACACAGAGAAACCUUGUC